UGUAAAUCACCCAUUAAAUAAUCAUCCAUAUAAAAAAAACUUCAAAUACCUGAAAACUUAUCACUCAAUCUGUCUAACAACUAUAGUCACCAAAAUUAACGGGAAAUGACGUAGCAAAAAUCUUUUGCUUGGCUUGAGAGUCUUGUGAGACUUUUGAUUCAUCUCUCUUAAUCAUUCACUGUCUUUAUCUUUUAGGUUAUAAAUUAUUUUUUCUUACAUUAAAAAAAUAAAACUAAAGUGCACAACUAUAAGUCUAGCUAAGACUACUUACUUCCCCACUAAGUACGAGUGACUAUUUUAAAUUUUAAAUUUCUCAUGAUUCCAUUUUAAGAAUACUCAUAAUUCAAGACAUCAAACUUAGGCUUCAAGCAACUCCCAAAGCAGAGGAAACUAUUUUUUAAUUCCAUUUAUUUAUACUACAUUGUGAAGUGGAUAUGAAACAAGGCCCAUAAAUGUCCACUAGACUAAGUUUGACCCAUAUAGUAUAAAGGGUCACCUAUAUGGCCACACAAUUUAUAUAUGUAGUUUUUAGGUUUAGAAAGCUCAAUAGUUCAAGUGUACAACGUUUGGCAGUUACGAAUCUAGAAUAUCUGACUAUGUAUAUCAAAAACUCUGUAUAGUGAAGUCAGGAGUUUCAAUUCUUAUAAAGAUAUUUUCAACGAAACAUGGAAUUCAUCCUAGCCAUGGAUGAGAAUAGUCAAAAGAUGUUUUUUAGCGAACGUCUUCAAGAGAUUUAUCAGUGACGUUUUCGACACUAGUGAAUGUAAUUUUAAUAUCAAUGCAAGUAAAGAAAGAAAAAAUACAGUAAGUUACUAAUCUGGUUCAAGAGAUAUAUGUCUUGAAUCUCUGCCAACAUGUCUUUUUCUUAUAAGUGCUAAUAUAUAUGUUUCUUCGUCUUCUGAGACGAGCCUCAUCAUCUUAGAUUCAAGAGAUAUUCUUAGUGACGUCUUGAAUAAACUUUAGAAGAGCAACGUGCGAAGAUCCACCGUCCAUUAAAGCUACGUGACUCUUCUCGCUCAUCUCCUUCACUCUACUCCUCACGUCACUAUCCUGCUCCAUCAAACACCGGAUCCCUCUCUCUAUCUCCUCUGCCGUCAUCAACUCAUCAUCCGCCGCCAUGAAAUCUCCUCGGAAACUAUUUCGGACCUCCACCGCUAGCCCUAGCUCCUCAACCAUCUCGAACGCGUUAACUUGUUGCUCUGCGUAAAGCGGCCACGUAGCCAUCGGAACUCCGAACCAUAGACUCUCUAGCGUCGAGUUCCAUCCACAAUGCGACACGAACCCUCCGAUCGCAGGAUUUGCUAGAAUGGCGCUUUGUGGAGCCCAACCUACAAUCUUUCCUAUCUCUGCCGUCCGUUCCAAGAAUCCUUCCGGGAGAAUUUCCUCAAGAUUCGUAAAUUCUUCGGGAGGUCCUAUCGAUCCUUUUGGUUGAGCACGACGAAGAGACCAGACAAAGCGGUGACCACUUCGCUCAAGCGCGAUUGCGAUUUCUUUAGCUUGGCCCUCACGGAAACCUCCCAUGCUUCCGAAACAGAGGAAAACAACGGAUUUACGUGGCUGCUCGUCUAGCCACCGUAGGAUCUCCGAUUGCUUAUCGUCAGAUGAAUUUGGACCGUUGAUUUUAAGAUUCAUAACCGGUCCAACUGUGUACACCGUAGGCAGAGGACUAUCUACGCCGGAGAAAAACUUCAUAGCUUGAGGCUCAAGCUCAGCGAAUGUAUUUACCAAAAUACCUUUAGUUUCUCGGAAUCUUCUGGUUUGUCUAAACAUAACCGGUAACCACUCCUUGGUUAAUAGAACCGAGGGGAAACACUUAACCGGUAAAGGACGAGUCAAACAAGGAACUUCCAGCUCAGUAGUGUCCGAGUCCUUGAGGUCACUAACGUCAUAGUUCUUAACGUCGUAAAGGUAUUCAACAUGAACUUGCAAUCCAAGAAACGUUGCGUUGGAUGUGUAAAACAUGUAACUGGGAACACCAAACUCAUUAGCGACAUCAAUCAUCAUCAUGCAAAACAUAUCCACCACGAAUCCAGCAAGACGCGACGGCGAAUCUGGUGGACCCGGGUCAGUAAGUUUUUCCACCGUGGCUUUGACCUGCGGCUUGAAGUUAUCAAUGUAGUCGAAAAAAUGUGGUUUGGUGUCAUCGGAGUCUGGUUUAUCAGGGACGGAGAGAACGUUGUAGCUAAGACGUUCUUCAGAAUCAGAGGAGAGAGAAGCGAUGUAAGAAGAAGAGUUACUGCUACUAAAUCCAUGCAUCUGAGGGAUGAUGAUGAUGGUGAUGGAGAGAUGGUCGUCACGGUCAACAUGAAGCUUAGCUACCUCCACUAAUGGCCGGAGAUGUCCGUCACCAGGUGAUGGCCAUACAAUCUUGAUCUUCAGACUUCAACGUUAGUACGUUACGUUAGUAUUUUUUUCUUUUAAUUGUCAGCUAUAUACUGCACUAUCAUACAAUUAAAGGUAACCGACGUUUAAUUCAUUGAGAUUUUGUUGGCAUGUAUUAUUGUUUCUCGAGAUAUCAAGCAUGUGGUGGGAUGCAUAAUAGACAAGAGUCACAAGACACGACGCAGAACAAACAGACUCUCUUUUUGGUCCACAUAUAUAAUGACCUAUCCAAGAAACGUACUCCACUCUUCCACCUUCUCGGUUACUGAUGCGAAAGUAGCAAACAAAUAUUUCACAUUUUUCCAAAAAGUGUUUUUAAAAAGUCACCUAAUAUGAUAACUCAUAAAAUUUUCGUUUUGGUCCGUGAUUGAACCAAGCUAUAAGUCUAUUAUAACAUUCUCAAAAUGUAAAUUAGUAUUUCUAAGAAACCAUGAUGUAGUUGUUUUUUCUUUUUGUGGGGUGAUGUCAGCAUUGGACUUAAGGUGAGUUCAAGAUUUAGUAUGCAACUAAAGCACUUUCAAGUCGUGAACAGAAUCCUUCACUUCCCUAAAUUUUUAGAUAUUGGAACAACUUAUAGAUUCAUAAGACUAAAUCUUGUGUUGAAAUAUUGAAGUUCUAUCUCAA
rnacentral:lncRNA from 1 species